CUAUGCACUCCUACGGGAGGCAGCAGUGGGGAAUAUUGCACAAUGGGCGCAAGCCUGAUGCAGCCAUGCCGCGUGUAUGAAGAAGGCCUUCGGGUUGUAAAGUAUUUCAGCAGUGAGGAAGGUGGAUAUGUUAAUAGCAUAUUCAUUUGACGUUAGCUGCAGAAGAAGCACCGGCUAACUCCGUGCCAGCAGCCGCGGUAAUACGGAGGGUGCGAGCGUUAAUCGGAAUUACUGGGCGUAAAGCGCAUGCAGGUGGUUUGUUAAGUCAGAUGUGAAAGCCCGGGGCUCAACCUCGGAAUUGCAUUUGAAACUGGCAAACUAGAGUACUGUAGAGGGGGUAGAAUUUCAGGUGUAGCGGUGAAAUGCGUAGAGAUCUGAAGGAAUACCGGUGGCGAAGGCGGCCCCCUGGACAGAUACUGACACUCAGAUGCGAAAGCGUGGGGAGCAAACAGGAUUAGAUACCCUGGUAG
rnacentral:rRNA from 1 species